AGAACCAAACAAAAAAAGACAGUGAAAAGAAAACAAAAGAGGCGCAUCUCUGUCUUAGGCUCUACACAGGCUCUGUAUGCAACACAGACCAACCAAACCAACAAUGGCUCCUGUAUAUUUACAAUUUCCCGAGAAACAAUAAAAUAACAACUAAAAGGCUCUUUCGAUCAACUGUGGGGCCCUUCUAAUGUCUCCGUCGUUGUCAACGUCAUCGACUGCAGACUCGCUUGGUUUUUUUAUGAACCCAUUGAAGCAUACAUAUAUUUUGAUAAUUACACAUAUUCUAUUUUGAUACUAAUAAUUAUAUA
rnacentral:sRNA from 1 species